AUGGUGUUGUGGUUGUAACCUCGCUCUGAUACCACUUUAAUCUGUCACGCGCCGGGAUCCCUUUUUGUUUGAACACAGCAGAAAAAGCGUCUAAAUUUUUUUUUUUUUUUUUUUACAUAAAACCUGACCCCAGAGUAUGCCAGAUCCGCCACAAAUACAGGAGAUCCACUGUUCACACGGACAGAGUCUCCCCUGUAUUUGUACGGCAUCGCACAAGUACAAGAGUACAACCAGGAUACAACCACAACAAAUGAACAUACAAAUAACCAAUCGUUAUAUGUAUUCAUACACCAUUCACCACAGAUUCACAUUUAUGCAUUCAACAUUUAAACAUAAAUCCAUAGAAAAUCUUUUGAAAACUGUUUCCUACACAGAAACCUUUAUUCUUUAAAAACGCUACCACGAGGGGUAGAAAGCCUUUUAUUUUACAAAAUCCAGAAAUCUUUUUAUUACAUUCAUGAAAAUCCAC
rnacentral:lncRNA from 1 species